AUGGAACAGCAGCUCACAAAGAGAGGAGGGAAAAAUAAUAGAAAGUACUGAGAGAAGCUAGAAUGUUUACACCUUGCCCUGGCUUUUUUUCUCAUGACAGGCAGUGACUAAUACCAGCAGUAAAAAAAUAACCCAGCCCAGUGCAGCACCCCAGUGGCAUCCCCAUGAAAUUGAUGGAUACAUGAGCCCCCGCAGUCCAUAGCCGCCUGUGUGUCCUUGCUGGGGAAGCGGGGAGAGGGGUCAGGAGGAGAGGUGCACACCCAGCAGCGUUGGGAAACUGCAUGCCGUGCUUGUGGCUAAUAGCAAAAGACAGUGCUUUAGUGGGAGGCAUGGUGGACCCCAGAGAACUGACAAUUAAACUGACUUUAAAUCCUGGCUUCUUCUCAUCUCAGUUCUUCGGGUGUCCAGGCUGAGUGCUCUGCCAUGUGGCUCACUGAGUCACAUCCUCACACAAACCUUCGGAGAGAAGUCCGUUAUUCUUCUCAUUUUACCCAUCAGGAAGCUGAAACUCCAGAAACAGCACAGAGCUCCUAAAACCCUUGUAAUGUUCCGAGCAACAGAGGUGCAAGGUGACAUGCACAAUGAAACCAGGAGUGUGGAAGGAAACCACCAAGGCAGCCCAAGGAUGGCAAGUGGUAUUGGACCACUAGUGCCUGGGAAGCAAUAGGAACUGGGAUACAUCAGAGGACCUGCCUUGUCUCCAGCUGGAGCCCCCACUUGGAUGGGACCUGCUACUGCUAUGUAGGAACUGCAGGC